UUCGUCACACUAUCAUUAACUGAAUCCAUAGGUUAAUGAGGCGAACCGGGGGAACUGAAACAUCUAAGUACCCCGAGGAAAAGAAAUCAACCGAGAUUCCCCCAGUAGCGGCGAGCGAACGGGGAGGAGCCCAGAGCCUGAAUCAGUGUGUGUGUUAGUGGAAGCGUCUGGAAAGGCGCGCGAUACAGGGUGACAGCCCCGUACACAAAAAUGCACAUACUGUGAGCUCGAUGAGUAGGGCGGGACACGUGGUAUCCUGUCUGAAUAUGGGGGGACCAUCCUCCAAGGCUAAAUACUCCUGACUGACCGAUAGUGAACCAGUACCGUGAGGGAAAGGCGAAAAGAACCCCGGCGAGGGGAGUGAAAAAGAACCUGAAACCGUGUACGUACAAGCAGUGGGAGCCUCUUUAUGGGGUGACUGCGUACCUUUUGUAUAAUGGGUCAGCGACUUAUAUUCUGUAGCAAGGUUAACCGAAUAGGGGAGCCGAAGGGAAACCGAGUCUUAACUGGGCGUUAAGUUGCAGGGUAUAGACCCGAAACCCGGUGAUCUAGCCAUGGGCAGGUUGAAGGUUGGGUAACACUAACUGGAGGACCGAACCGACUAAUGUUGAAAAAUUAGCGGAUGACUUGUGGCUGGGGGUGAAAGGCCAAUCAAACCGGGAGAUAGCUGGUUCUCCCCGAAAGCUAUUUAGGUAGCGCCUCGUGAAUUCAUCUCCGGGGGUAGAGCACUGUUUCGGCAAGGGGGUCAUCCCGACUUACCAACCCGAUGCAAACUGCGAAUACCGGAGAAUGUUAUCACGGGAGACACACGGCGGGUGCUAACGUCCGUCGUGAAGAGGGAAACAACCCAGACCGCCAGCUAAGGUCCCAAAGUCAUGGUUAAGUGGGAAACGAUGUGGGAAGGCCCAGACAGCCAGGAUGUUGGCUUAGAAGCAGCCAUCAUUUAAAGAAAGCGUAAUAGCUCACUGGUCGAGUCGGCCUGCGCGGAAGAUGUAACGGGGCUAAACCAUGCACCGAAGCUGCGGCAGCGACACUAUGUGUUGUUGGGUAGGGGAGCG
rnacentral:rRNA from 1 species